GUGAAGCGGGAAGUGCUCAAGCUUAAAAUCUCCGUUGCUUGCAACGGCGAAUUGUAGUCUCGAGAAGCGUUUUCAAGGCGGAUACACAGUGCUUAAGUUGCUUGGAACGGCACAUCGUAGAGGGUGACAAUCCCGUACGUGGUGCUGUGUACUGUUCACGAUGCGCUUUCUAUGAGUCGGGUUGCUUGGGAAUGCAGCCCAAAAUGGGAGGUAAACUCCUUCUAAAGCUAAAUAUUGGCACGAGACCGAUAGCGAACAAGUACCGUGAGGGAAAGAUGAAAAGCACUUUGAAAAGAAAGUUAAUAGUACGUGAAACCGUUGGAAGGGAAGCGCAUGGAAUUAGCAAUGCUCUGUCGAGACUCAGACGAGCGGUGGACUGUACGGAUAUUGUACGGAUCUGAAUGGACUGUCGGUAGUCGUCACAGUUUGCUGAUUGUCGCAUUUCCCGGCAGUGUGCGUCAACAGCUGUUGGAACCGAGUGAUGAGCCCCGCAAGAAGGUAGCUGGCUUCGGUUAGUGUUAUAGCUUGUGGUGUGCGAGCUCGGGUCCGACAGAGGCGUCGCAGCACAUGCUCUUUUGGGCUGGCUUCUCUCUUCUCAGUCAGAUGUCGACCAUAGCGGACUGCGUGCAGUGCGUUUGAACUGUUUCUGGCUGUCGUUGGGAUGAAUGCACACAUUGUGCUAAGGUUGUUGGCGGUCAUAUGAUUUCAUGC
rnacentral:rRNA from 1 species